UCUCACAAGAAGGUGCAUGAUCACCAUGAUGGCAAGUAGAUCCCCUCCAACCAGCUGGUUCAAUUGUGAACACCCACUCACUGACAUUAGACCACAUUUGCCAGUAGCUACCUUUAACCCAAUAGCCAACAACGAUCCUAAUAACGCAAAAAGAGUGAUUCUAACCAAUUGCUAAAUCUAUAUAAUAUUUUAUACACAUCCAUUAUUAUAUCCACGAUUGCAUGCACAAGCACACUUCUUGUAAUACACUUGUGUCAUGCACUGUCAUCCACUCCUUUACAGACGCCUUCGUUCUCUACCCCACCUCCUGAGCAGCCACAAACAUCCCUGCAGGUUCAUCUGGUCCAUCAGCAGAAACCGUCCCAAAAAAUGCAUUUGGGCGGCCUUUAUCCAGGCGUGACUAUAUAGGAGAGGUUAAGGAGGCCCUCCUAAUCCUCCCUUGUUUCGGGGAAAGCAUUUGAAGAACCCCAAGACAAACACAAAGACAGCUGGUUUCACGCCCGAGGAGAGACAGGACUUCACAGAGCUACUGGAGGAGAGUUUCGUGGACACCUUCCAUCACCUGUAUCCCGACCUCGCUGGAGCGUACACUUACCAGUUCAACGCCAGAGCCAAGAACACUGGCUGGACACUUCUAAUUACCCCGGACUCUCUUUUGGGCAAUUUUCAUUGUUCUAAUACAACGGACACUCCAGUGCUUUAAUAUUACUAAAUAUCCGGACAAUAAUUAUACUUUGAAAAGUUGAGUUACAUUCACAGACGGCAAGUAAGACUUAGAGUGCUGCAGUUAGAUAGCUAUAGUUUUAGAUAGCUAGUGCAACUAUUCAAUCGCACAGUGUUCUAUUAAACUUAGCUAUCUCGCAUGCAGUUGCUUGCUUGUUCUAAUUAUUCCAGACACUUCACAUGCUCUAUAAAAAUCUGUUCCAAUUAUACCCGGACAAUUUCCAAAAUAAUUAUUUUUUGCUGUCCGAUAAAUAAGGU